AAAUUUGUGCCAGCAGCUGAGUUAAACAAAGAAUACAAAUGAAUUUUAUAAAAAUAUAAGAUAAAUUGGGUUUGUUUAAUUAAUAAAUAAAAAUUAGGUGAAAUUUUACUUUUUUUUAAUUAAUAUAUAAAAUUGUAUUGAUAUUGGAAAUAUUAUUUCCAAACUAGGAUUAGAUACCCUAUUAUUUAAUUAUUAGAAAAUAUAAAAAUUGGACUAGUAAUAGUUAUGGUCUUGAAACUCAAAAAAUUUGGCGGUAUUUUAGUCUAUUCAGAGGAACCUGUAAUAUAAUCGAUAAUCCACGUUGGAUCUUACUUAAUUUUGUAAUUUAAUUUGUUUAUCGCCGUUAUUUAAAAAUUUUAUAAGAAAAAUAAUUUUUAAAAUUUUUAUUAAAAAAUAAAUCAGGUCAAGGUGAAGUUUAUAAUUCAGUUUUAUAUGGGUUAAUAUAAAUUUAUUUAUACGGAUUAAAAAAUGAAAUACUUUUAAGAAGGUGGAUUUGACAGUAUAUUUUUAAAGAUAAAAAAAUUGAUUUUAGCUCUAAAAUAUGUACACAUCGCCCGUCGCUCUUGUUAAUAAUAUAAGAUAAGUCGUAACAUA
rnacentral:rRNA from 1 species